rnacentral:rRNA from 1 species
AUUGAACACUGGCGGCAGGCUUAACACCUGAACGUCGAGCGAACGGCGGACGGGAGAGUAAUGUCUGGGAAACGGCCUGAUGGCGGGUGCUAACUUCUGGAAACGGUAGCUAAUACCUCAUACCAUCAGAUGUGCCCAGAUGGGAUGAGCUAGUUGGUGGGGUAAUGGCUCACCUAGGCGACGAUCCAUAGCUGGUCUGAGAGGAUGACCAGCCACACUGUAACUUGGACACGGUCCAGACUCCUACGGGAGGCAGCAGUGGGGAAUAUGGCACAAUGGGCGCAAGCCGGAUGCAGCCAUGCCGCGUGUGUGAAUAAGGCCAUCGGGUUGUAAAGCACUUGCAGCGAGGAGGCGUUACUCGCAGAAGAAGCACCGGCUAACUCCGUGCCAGCAGCCGCGGUAAUUC